rnacentral:rRNA from 1 species
UACAGAGGUGGCAAGCGUUGUUCGGAAUUACUGGGCGUAAAGGGCGCGUAGGCGGUCUUCUAAGUCUUGUGUGAAAUCCCUCGGCUCAACUGAGGAACUGCACGGGAUACUGGAAGACUUGAGUUCGGGAGAGGGAAGCGGAAUUCCGGGUGUAGCGGUGAAAUGCGUAGAUAUCCGGAGGAGCACCGGUGGCGAAGGCGGCUUCCUGGACCGAUUACUGAGCUGAGGCGCGAAAGCUAGGGGAGCAAACGGG